CAGUCGCCGCGGGAAUACGAAGGGGGCUAGCGUUGCUCGGAAUUACUGGGCGUAAAGGGCGCGUAGGCGGAUGAUUAAGUCGAGGGUGAAAGCCCGGGGCUCAACCUCGGAACUGCCUUUGAUACUGGUCAUCUUGAGUACGGGAGAGGCGUGUGGAACUCCGAGUGUAGAGGUGAAAUUCGUAGAUAUUCGGAGAACACCAGUGGCGAAGGCGACACACUGGCCCGUUACUGACGCUGAGGCGCGAAAGCGUGGGGAGCAAACAGGAUUAGAUACCCCUGUAGUCCCUGUCUCUUAUACA
rnacentral:rRNA from 1 species